AGAACAACUGCACUACCAUCAACAACGACUAGACCAAAAACAUCAACCUUUAUUAAGAAAUGGUUAUCUGUAGUUGUCGGUGUGUCAGCUGCUGUUCUUUUCGUAAUUAUCGGAGCUGUAACGUGUCUCUAUUUUACAAAAACAAGAAUCCGUCGCAUCGAUCCUGGAAUAUAAAUCUUGCUAUUAUUUUUGGACUUAAAUAAGGGUGUGAACAUUGUUUUCAAAUUCUCAAUUAAAGGUGA